rnacentral:rRNA from 1 species
UACGUAGGGUGCAAGCGUUGUUCGGAAUCAUUGGGCGUAAAGCGCGUGUAGGCUGUUAUCUAAGUCGGGUGUGAAAUCCCUUGGCUCAACCAAGGAAGUGCAUUCGAAACUGGAUAACUAGAGAGUGGUAGAGGAAGGUGGAAUUCCAAGUGUAGAGGUGAAAUUCGUAGAUAUUUGGAGGAAUACCGGUGGCGAAGGCGGCCUUCUGGGCCACUUCUGACGCUGAGACGCGAAAGCGUGGGGAGCAAACAGG